CCCCUGUGAGGAAGAAAUCCCCUAAAUAGAUAGGAAGUGCCGUAUGACACUUUACACAGCGGCGGCGAA